UACAAACUGUGGAAUUGCCCUAACAGAUCGUCCGAAUUUACAGGUCUUGGCUGGAGACCGGAGCCAUGUCUGUGUUAUCCCCACUGUAGACAAUCCUUGCUUCCUCUGGACAUCUGGAGCAGGCCCAAUUUGACUGACAGCCUUCCCCACUAAGUUACAGAUACAGCCCCACCAUCACCACCAGAGUUGAGUCCAAAUCCAACACUCUAGGCCGGGUAGUGCUGGGGCUUUGCCAGCCUCCUGCUGAGAAGUGAAUUCUCCCCUUGGCAAACUGCAGCCAGCCAGCCUCCUGGGUCGAGAGCCAAGCCAAAAGAUGUCUGAGAGAAGAAACCUGGUGUCCUGCAAAGGUAAGUGGGUCCCAGCCCACUCUCAAUCUCCCUCUCUUUGUGCGAUUGCUAUUCCACACUGGAGUUGCCUGCUCUACGUCUUCUGAGGAACCUCACCUCUGGCACAUCAAUGGAAAUUGUCCUUCCCUUUUUAUUUAUUUUUUAUUUUUUUAUUUUUUGCCACCCUCACUGGCCACUAAGAGAUAGCCCUAGCUCCUCCUCCCCUGCCUGGUUUUGACAGGACUCACUCCAUUGCUUCCUGUCUUGUCUCUUUGCAGCCCUCCUCCCCCCUACCCCCUUCAGCCAGCACUUAGGCCCUCCUGAUUUAGCCCGUUACCUUGACAACCACUUGGGCCUGUCUCCCUCAUCACCACUGAAAACCUGAAGGUGGUUUUCCAGCUGCGGUACAUUUGCCCAAGUUGGGCAUCCCUCCACCUUCUAUUGGCUCGUCCUCUAUACAGCUGUACCCAGUAUAACAACCUUCCCGGCCCCUCAGCUGUAGUCUCGAAAUUGAUCUCACUGGUCCCCGGAACUCCGUCAACACUGCCUCCUCUAGACUGAGCUCCUCACAGGCAGGAACAUGGUUUUUUCUCAAUAAACAAGUUGCAAAAAAAGAAAAAAAAAGGAA
rnacentral:lncRNA from 1 species